rnacentral:rRNA from 1 species
AUUGAACGCUGGCGGCAGGCUUAACACAUGCAAGUCGAGCGAGCGGCGGACGGGUGAGUAAUGUCUGGGAAAGUGCCUGAUGGAGGGGGAUAAAUACUGGAAACGGUAGCUAAUACCGCAUACCAGUAGAAGUGCACAGAGGGGAUGAGCUAGUAGGUGGGGUAAUGGCUCACCUAGGCGACGAUCCCGAGCUGGUCUUAGAGGAUGACCAGCCACACGGGAAAUGAGAGACGGUCCAGACUCCUACGUGAGGCAGCAUGGGGGAAUAUUGCACAAUGGGCGCAAGCCUGAUGCAGCCAUGCCGCGUGUAUGAAGAAGGCCUUCGGGUUGUAAAGUACUUUCAGCGGGGAGGCGUUACCCGCAGAAGAAGCACCGGCUAACUCCGUGCCAGCAGCCGCGGUAAUUC